rnacentral:rRNA from 1 species
UACGAACUGUGCAAACGUUAUUCGGAAUCACUGGGCUUAAAGGGUGCGUAGGCGGCUGUCUAAGCAGGGUGUGAAAGCCCCCGGCUCAACCGGGGAAUUGCGUUCUGAACUGGACGGCUGGAGUGGGAUAGGGGUGUGUGGAACUUCCGGUGGAGCGGUGAAAUGCGUAGAGAUCGGGAGGAACACCAGUGGCGAAGGCGGCUACCUGGACCAGCACUGACACUGAGGCACGAAAGCGUGGGGAGCAAACAGG